rnacentral:rRNA from 1 species
CGUCAGCUGGCGGCGUGCCUAUACAUGCAAGUCGAGCGGACAGAAGGGAGCUUGCUCCCGGAUGUUAGCGGCGGACGGGUGAGUAACACGUGGGUAACCUGCCUGUAAGACUGGGAUAACUCCGGGAAACCGGAGCUAAUACCGGAUAGUUCCUUGAACCGCAUGGUUCAAGGAUGAAAGACGGUUUCGGCUGUCACUUACAGAUGGACCCGCGGCGCAUUAGCUAGUUGGUGGGGUAAUGGCUCACCAAGGCGACGAUGCGUAGCCGACCUGAGAGGGUGAUCGGCCACACUGGGACUGAGACACGGCCCAGACUCCUACGGGAGGCAGCAGUAGGGAAUCUUCCGCAAUGGACGAAAGUCUGACGGAGCAACGCCGCGUGAGUGAUGAAGGUUUUCGGAUCGUAAAGCUCUGUUGUUAGGGAAGAACAAGUGCGAGAGUAACUGCUCGCACCUUGACGGUACCUAACCAGAAAGCCACGGCUAACUACGUGCCAGCAGCCGCGGUAAUACGUAGGUGGCAAGCGUUGUCCGGAAUUAUUGGGCGUAAAGGGCUCGCAGGCGGUUUCUUAAGUCUGAUGUGAAAGCCCCCGGCUCAACCGGGGAGGGUCAUUGGAAACUGGGAAACUUGAGUGCAGAAGAGGAGAGUGGAAUUCCACGUGUAGCGGUGAAAUGCGUAGAGAUGUGGAGGAACACCAGUGGCGAAGGCGACUCUCUGGUCUGUAACUGACGCUGAGGAGCGAAAGCGUGGGGAGCGAACAGGAUUAGAUACCCUGGUAGUCCACGCCGUAAACGAUGAGUGCUAAGUGUUAGGGGGUUUCCGCCCCUUAGUGCUGCAGCUAACGCAUUAAGCACUCCGCCUGGGGAGUACGGUCGCAAGACUGAGACUCAAAGGAAUUGACGGGGGCCCGCACAAGCGGUGGAGCAUGUGGUUUAUUUCGAAGCAACGCGAAGAACCUUACCAGGUCUUGACAUCCUCUGACAACCCUAAAGAUAGGGCUUUUCCCUUCCGCGACAGAGUGAAGGGGGGAUGCUUGUUUGUCGUCUUCUCUUGUCAUGAGAUGUUGGGUUAAGUCCCGCCAACCACCGCAACCCCUGGAUCUUAGUUGCCAGCAUUC